UCCCUGGUGGCUCAGCGGGUAUAAGAAUCUGCCUGCAAUGCAGGAGACACGGGUUCAAUCCCUGAGUAGGGAA
rnacentral:tRNA from 1 species